rnacentral:rRNA from 1 species
AACGAACGCUGGCGGCAGGCUUAACACAUGCAAGUCGAGCGCCCCGCAAGGGGAGCGGCAGACGGGUGAGUAACGCGCGGGAAUCUACCCAUCUCUACGGAAUAACGCAUGGAAACGUGUGCUAAUACCGUAUACGUCCUUCGGGAGAAAGAUUUAUCGGAGAUGGAUGAGCCCGCGUCGGAUUAACUAGUUAGUGGGGUUAAGGCCUACCAAGGCGACGAUCCAUAGCUGGUCUGAGAGGAUGAUCAGCCACACUGGGACUGAGACACGGCCCAGCGUCCUGAGGGGGACAGCAGUGAGGAAUAUUGGAAAAUGGGCGCAAGCCUGAACCAGCCAUGCCGCGUGAGUGAUGAAGGCCCUAGGGUUGUAAAGCUCUUUCACCGGUGAAGAUAAUGACGGUAACCGGAGAAGAAGCCCCGGCUAACGUCGUGCCAGCCGCCGCCGUAACAC